UCUCAGGGGACUAUUAUACAUCAGGAAAAUGUUGAACUUUAUAAGAAGGUAAACCUCAUUCGUCAAGAAAAUAUGGAGUUAUACAAGAAGGUUUAUGGCUCAAGGGAAGCGAAUGAAACCAGCGGAAAUGCCUUCAUUCAAUACAGUUUGAGCAAUGGAGAAGAUUCACAUAUCCCAGUUCAUCUUCAACUGAGCCAGCCUGAGCAACGGCCUUAUGAUACAUCAGAAAGAGCAACAAGUAAAGAACUAAACUAAAGAAUAAUCUGACUGCGCCUCGCCCCAAAAAUUAUAUGAGGAGAAGAAAUAUGCACCUGGAGAAAGAUGAUCCGGAUAUAUAUAACUACAAUGAAAUGAAAAGUCUGACAAUAUAUGUGACAUCACAUACAACAUAAGUAGCUGAAGUUAUAAAUGAAAGUGAAAUACCGUGUAAAGUUGCAAUUAUUCAAGAGAUCAUAAUAUACU